UAACAAUGAUUCCCUCAGUAACGGCGAGUGAACAGGGAAAAGCUCAAAGUUGGAACCUCCUGGCCCUAGGCCUGGCGGAUUGUAAACUAAAGCUCUCGAGUAGUUCGGCUAGCCUGGUAAAAAAGUUCUCUGGAAAGGGACGACAUGGAGGGUGAAAUCCCCGUCUUUGGCCAGAGCAUAGUCCAACGUUUGCUUGGAAGUGAAGAGUCAGGUUGUUUGGUAUUGCAGCCUAAAGCUGGAGGUAAAUCUCUCCUAAAGCUAAAUAUUGACGAAAGACCGAUAGCGAACAAGUACCGUGAGGGAAAGAUGAAAAGCACUUUGAAAAGAGGGUCAAAAAGUACGUGAAAUUGCUGAAAGGGAACCGUAUGAAAUCAGCCUGUCUCUUUGGUAAUCAACCUGGAAUUCGUUCUGGGUGCACUUGCCGGUGAGUCAGCCUGCGACAAUUUGACUUGGGGGAAAAAAUCGGGGGGAAUGUGGCCUCGGCUUCGGUCGUGGUGUUAUAGCCCUUUGAAAAAUACCCUGGGUUGGAUUGAGGACUGCAGCGAGCCAUUAGGGAUGAACUGUGGGCGCUUGGCUUUGCCUUGAAAGAAAUCUUUGCUUCGGGUGGUGUCUUUCUCGGCGGGGUCAACUCGCCUACUUUUUCUUUUUCUCGCUUAGGUCGCAGGCAUAAUGAUUUUAUAUAACCCGUCUUGAA
rnacentral:rRNA from 1 species